GUGAUGAUUAUAAGACACUGGCUGUUUUUCAAUAUCAAGAACACAGAGUAUGGUCUUGUGAACUCGGCCAGUACGGUCUUGGUAAGAACGGUCCAAGAGAACGGACUUCCUAAGAACGCAAGUCUGUCUGGAAUUGGAAUGGCUGCGUACUUGUGAACUGUCCUCCCUGUCUCUGCUGUAUUUACACCAUCUGCUCCCUAAUGUAUUUCCCUCACACUUGAAUGUCACUCGAUUUGUUUUCAAUACCUUUGGACUAGUAUUUACAUGUCAUUUAUUCAUUUUGUAUAUUUUUCAAAACUAUAAUACAUUUCGUUGGUUCAGCCAGGCACAGCCACCUGGC